CCUACGGGAGGCAGCAGUGGGGAAUAUUGGACAAUGGGCGAAAGCCUGAUCCAGCCAUGCCGCGUGUGUGAAGAAGGCCUUCGGGUUGUAAAGCACUUUCAGUGGGGAAGAAAGCCUUGGGGCUAAUACCCUCGAGGAAGGACAUCACCCACAGAAGAAGCACCGGCUAACUCCGUGCCAGCAGCCGCGGUAAUACGGAGGGUGCGAGCGUUAAUCGGAAUUACUGGGCGUAAAGCGCGCGUAGGCGGUCUGAUAAGCCGGUUGUGAAAGCCCCGGGCUCAACCUGGGAACGGCAUCCGGAACUGUCAGGCUAGAGUGCAGGAGAGGAAGGUAGAAUUCCCGGUGUAGCGGUGAAAUGCGUAGAGAUCGGGAGGAAUACCAGUGGCGAAGGCGGCCUUCUGGACUGACACUGACGCUGAGGUGCGAAAGCGUGGAUAGCAAACAGGAUUAGAUACCCUUGUAGUC
rnacentral:rRNA from 1 species